rnacentral:rRNA from 1 species
AUUGAACGCUGGCGGCAGGCCUAACACAUGCAAGUCGAGCGCGCGGCGGACGGGUGAGUAAUGUAUGUGGAACGCCCGAUAGAGGGGGAUAACAACUGGAAACGGUUGCUAAUACCGCACAAUGUCGGAUUACCCAUUUGGGAUUAGCUAGUAGGUAAGGUAAUGGCUUACCUAGGCGACGAUCCCUACCUGGUCUGAGAGGAUGAUCAGCCACACUGGGACUGAGACACGGCCCAGACUCCUACGGAGGCAGCAGUGGGGAAUAUUGCACAAUGGGCGCAAGCCUGAUGCAGCCAUGCCGCGUGUAUGAAGAAGGCCCUAGGGUUGUAAAGUACUUUCAGUCGGGAGGCGUUACCGACAGAAGAAGCACCGGCUAACUCCGUGCCAGCAGCCGCGGUAAUAC